UUACUCAUUCAGUGGAUUUGGCUGAUUCAAGGCUUUAAUUAACCCUUCCCACUUCCUCUAUCUGAACCAACAAGUUUCACAUUCAGAUCAUCUCCCAAUCUCUCUAACCAAUCUCACUAAGUUGCCUACUUGAUCAUGUUAUAGAAAGUUCACCUAAAACACAAAUUUAUUUUUUCUAGCCUUCAAAUUCAAAAUUGGGCUUCGAGGUUGUGUUCAUAAUCAUCCUAGGAGUCUCCCAUAAAAAUUUCAGCUCAAUUGGAGGUCCCUAACACUAAAUCUGCUCAAAACAUCAAACUGUUCUUCUUGGUGUUCUUCAGUUUUCCAGAUUCCGAGCUGAAUCCAGUGGUGGUCUCCUCUCCCUCUCCGCCGCCAGCAUCGCCGCCAGCUCCGCCGCGUGGAAGCCAUCGCCGGCGAGGAGCUUCUGAAAUUUCCAACUCGCGUUUUAGCGCGAUUCAAGUGCCGUUUGACGAUUGAUCCGUUUCCGAUUAUUCACGCGGUUAAAGGUUAGGGUAACUCCGUCAUUUACUUUCAGAUAGCAUGACUUUAUUCAUUAUCUGUUCCACCUAUUAUUGAUGGAUUGAUGGAGUAUUAUUAUCUUGGUUAUCUUAUUGAUUAUGAUGAACUGAGGUUCACUUUUAUCGUUGAUGAAUUGGAACUUUUAUUGGUUAUGUUGAAUUGAGGUCACUCUUAUUAUUGUGUGGCUAACCAUAUCAUUUCAUUAGGAGUGGCGGGUUAGUCGUCUCGACCACGCGCCAUCCCGUCCUACGGGGCGUUACACUUCAAGCGGCGGUUUCUGUUUUCGUUCAGUUACUGUCCCACCUUUCGAGGUGCAAUUGUUAAUGUUAUUAUUAUUAUCAAGCGGCAGCCGGAGACUGUCCCACAUGUGCAAAUUUUUUUAAGUGGCCCCAACGGUUAUCGUUCCGUUGUUACCCAUCGGGGUAUUAUUAUUAUUAUUAUUAUUGAUCGAUCCAUUUUGUAGAGAGCAUAUAGACAUUUAGGAAGACUAACCCUUAUUUGCUAUAUGCUGCUUCUUUAUUUAACUUGCAAUCUGAUUUAUGUUUAAUGCAUGAGUUAACCCUUUCAUUGUUGCUUGUCUUGUUGUUUUUGGCGUUCGUCUGCCAUUAGGUGCGGAUGCGGAUGAACAGAAGUGAUGACUUGGUUUUCUGUUAUGGCGGAUUUGAAUAAAGGACCUUAUAUUUUAUUUUCUUGUUGUUGUGUAAUAAUUAUAACUUAUUCGGGAUACUGGGUAUGUAAUAUUAUUAUUGUAUCGUGUUAAGUUUCUCGCGAGGUUUUUGAACUUAUAA